rnacentral:rRNA from 1 species
UACAGAGGUCUCAAGCGUUGUUCGGAUUCAUUGGGCGUAAAGGGUGCGUAGGCGGCACGGUAAGUCGGGUGUGAAAUCUCGGGGCUUAACUCCGAAACUGCAUUCGAUACUGCCGUGCUUGAGGACUGGAGAGGAGACUGGAAUUCAUGGUGUAGCAGUGAAAUGCGUAGAGAUCAUGAGGAAGACCAGUGGCGAAGGCGGGUCUCUGGACAGUUCCUGACACUGAGGCACGAAGGCCAGGGGAGCAAACGGG